CAUUUCUUCAGAGCAAUAAGAAUCACACAAAUUUUCUGAUAGCAUAUAUACACACAUGAAAAGCAGUCUUUUCUACGAUGACAUCUAUCGAUUUCAAAACUUGAAUGUGUAUGAUUGUGUAUCAAAAACAACCAUGUCAAUCUCAGCAUGCAUGUUUAGUGAAUGUCGAGUCUGAAGCGUAGUAAAACUCGUACACUCCUGUUUCAAAUUGGACAAUGUUUUGUUAUUGUUUUUUACUGUUGAAAUUAGUUGUUAUGUUAAAAUAGAUAAUUAUUCACCUUGAACUAUGUAUUAUUGUUGACCAUUCGAGAUUCUUUUUUUGCGAACCCGUCUUCAGCUGAAUGUGUGAUUACUGUAUCGUACUACUACACGGGCCCCAAGUGAUUUCAAAUCGAAAAUAAAUGCAAAACAUAUGCUUUUGUGUCUUUCAAAACACAAAU
rnacentral:lncRNA from 1 species